CACCUUUGACAUGUACGGAAUUCGCCAGAGAUGGCUUAGUGCUCGAAAGAGAGCCGUAACACAGGUGCUGCAUGGCUGUCGUCAGCUCGUGUCGUGAGAUGUUGGGUUAAGUCCCGCAACGAGCGCAACCCUUGUCAUUAGUUGCUACAUUCAGUUGGGCACUCUAAUGAGACUGCCGGUGACAAACCGGAGGAAGGUGGGGAUGACGUCAAGUCCUCAUGGCCCUUA
rnacentral:rRNA from 1 species